rnacentral:rRNA from 1 species
UACAGAGGGUGCAAGCGUUAAUCGGAAUUACUGGGCGUAAAGCGUGCGCAGGCGGUUCGUUGUGUCGGCGGUGAAAGCCCCGGGCUCAACCUGGGAAUGGCCGUUGAAACUGGCGAACUGGAGUGUGGCAGAGGGGGGUGGAAUUCCGCGUGUAGCAGUGAAAUGCGUAGAGAUGCGGAGGAACACCGAUGGCGAAGGCAGCCCCCUGGGCUGACACUGACGCUCAGGCACGAAAGCGUGGGGAGCAAACAGG